rnacentral:rRNA from 1 species
CCUACGGGUGGCAGCAGUGAGGAAUAUUGGUCAAUGGGAGAGAUCCUGAACCAGCCAAGCCGCGUGAGGGAAGACGGCGCCAUGGGUUGUAAACCUCUUUUGUCGGAGAACAAAAUCCGGGUCGUGUCCCGGACCGCGUGUACUCGAAGAAAAAGCAUCGGCUAACUCCGUGCCAGCAGCCGCGGUAAUACGGAGGAUGCGAGGUUUAUCCGGAUUGAUUGGGUUGAAAGGGUGCGUAGGCGGACCGUUAAGUCAGCGGUAAAAUUCCGGGGCUCAACCCCGUCGAGCCGUUGAAACUGGCGGACUUGAGUUGGCGAGAGGUACGCGGAAUGCGCGGUGUAGCGGUGAAAUGCAUAGAUAUCGCGCAGAACUCCGAUUGCGAAGGCAGCAUACCGGCGCCGGACUGACGCUGAGGCACGAAAGCGUGGGGAUCGAACAGGAUUAGAUACCCCAGUAGUC